rnacentral:rRNA from 1 species
UACGGAGGGUGCAAGCGUUGUCCGGAAUCACUGGGCGUAAAGGGCGCGUAGGCGGCUCAUGAAGGCUGUGGUGAAAGUCCGGGGCUCAACCUCGGAUCGGCCGUGGCGACUCGCGGGCUGGAGCACUGUAGAGGCGGGUGGAAUUCCGGGUGUAGCGGUGGAAUGCGUAGAGAUCCGGAAGAACACCAGUGGCGAAGGCGGCCCGCUGGGCAGUGGCUGACGCUGAGGCGCGACAGCGUGGGGAGCAAACAGG